CCUUUUUUCAGGGAUAGGGUCGGUUUGGCCGGAUUUCACACAGGUGUUGCAUGGCUGUCGUCAGCUCGUGUCGUGAGAUGUUGGGUUAAGUCCCGCAACGAGCGCAACCCUCAUCCUUAGUUACCAUCAGGUUAUGCUGGGGACUUUAAGGAAACUGCCAGUGAUAAACUGGAGGAAGGUGGGGAUGAUGUCAAGUCAUCAUGGCCCUUAUGGAGUGGGCUACACACGUGCUACAAUGGUGAUUACAAUGGGCUGCAAGGUCGCAAGGCUGAGCUAAUCCUAAAAAAUCAUCUCAGUUCGGAUUGUUCUCUGCAACUCGAGAGCAUGAAGUUGGAAUCGCUAGUAAUCGUGGAUCAGCAUGCCACGGUGAAUACGUUCUCGGGUCUUGUACACACUGCCCGUCACGCCAUGGGAAUUGGU
rnacentral:rRNA from 1 species